CACCACUGGAGACUCUUUGGAGAGGCUCAAUUUGUAUCCUAUUAUCCUAUAAGAAAAUGUCUAUUCAGUCGAAUGAAUAGUUUCAUUGGCCUAAAUUUUAAUAAUGCUGUGAAAGAAAGGGAGAAAUAAAGAAGAAUGCAGCUGGUGUGAACGCGCAUUAUUCCCCGUCACCUGCAAGAUGGGUAGCCUGGAGACCCCUAUUCAUUUGCCUAAUUUCGGUCAACUUAACAAACUUUGGGAGAAAUUAUACUGCCAUUGUUACGAAGGGUGAAGCUUUCUGAUCGAAUUAACAGCAUGUUUUGAUCCGGUAAAUGUCAUUAGAAAGAAAGAAACAAUCGCGUUUAAAGGGGCCUGGGUAAUGCGCCAAGUGGAGACGCCAAAGCGCAAACUGCACAAAGGCUGCUAGUAAAUGCCACAGGGGACUUUUGUACCCUCACAUUGCUCAAGUUUUUACCCCCAAACAAAGGGCAUUAUUUUAUACUUGAAUACAUUUCAUACAACAAUUGGCUGUUUUCUUCAAACAUAUUUUCACAGCAAGGUUAACAACAGGUUUAUUGUGUGCGCUCCACACAGACUCAAACUGAUCUCAUGCGCCAAAACAGUUUGCUCCAAUUCUUCUGCUUUCUUUAUGUCACUGAGAACGUUUUAAUCUGGAAACUUUCUCUGUGCUGGGAUAUAUUUGAUCCUGUGAGCGAUGUCGAAGAAUAAAAAGCAGCGGAGAUUGAGAAAGAAAGGCUCACAAGACAUCUGAAGAGUUUGGAGAGUUUUUAGAGCACCAUGGAGAGAAAAGCACGAGCGAGCGGGACGGGGGCAUAAAAUCCAAUUACUUGACUGUGCAGUUUUUAACACUUUUUAUGUGUUUGUCCUUUGAAAUAUGAGGGGACUUGUGUGCUGGUGCUUUUAUUAAAAACUGAAUGAAAUACUGGAAGCUUUUACUGACCGACUUUGUAACACCAAGUGUUGCGUCAAAACGAGGCCCAACCAUGCGCAAGGAUUUACUGCACUAUGAUGUUAAAUGUAUGUUGAAUAUUUUAAUACAAGGUUCGACAACUGUACUUUUUAUAACUAGGUGUCUGAUGUGUUUAUUUGCAAUGAAAUGUUUUCCUCUCCUCUGUCGGUUUUUCACAUUAUAGUUUUUGAAAGAUUUUAAGGGUUUACACGUAAAAUGGAAACAUUCCUGUUGUGGAUUAAACUUUUUAGGUUGUUUUGUGAGUUGUGUUUAUCAUAAAUGAAUAAAAAUAUUAAUAUUUUUGAUUAAGACUAUUUUUAAUUGUUGCGAUCUUCACAGACGUGUGAUAUUGCAUUUCUGACGUUUUAUCUUUGGCUAAUUUAGAUUAAAUGACGAGAUGAUAAACUGACCCUCAUGAGAUUUUAUGUAUGGUACAGUAUUUAUUAAUACUGUGAUAAAAAAAUUACAUGAGACCCUACUGUAUUCUCAUCCUGAUGAAAGAUGAUCUCGAAAAGACUGUUGUAAAAUAAAUGUCAUUAAAGGAAACCUGAUAUUAAUACCAUUCAUGGUAACAGCAUCAUGUAUCAGGUAAUAAAUGUAUAAAAUGAGACACCAUUUAGAAGUUUGUUUUUGUAAUGUACAGAUCUCCUUUUUUUUAUACCCUGGUAGAUCACAUGUCUAAAACAUCAGAGUAAAUUCAUCCUUAAUAAAAAUCAGUUUUACGGUAAAUUUUGGUUUUAUUAGUCACUUUUCUCUCAGUUUUUGGCUGCACUUUCUGCAAAGACUGGUCCUGUUAUUAGUUAGUGACUGAUCAGGUCUUCAGUUUUAUGAUGGUCGUCUGGGCUGAACCAGAACACAGCCAGCAGCCCAUCUUAAUAAAACAAUUAACAUUUUUUCUCAUAUAGCUCAGAGUGGGAAAAAAACAAAAAAAGCAAAACCUGAGUUCAAAAUGAUUCAUUCGUUGUUAGGUCUGAUUAAGCAGUCAAGUAUUGAAGCAGUGAUAUCUACAAUUAAUAAUAGUGUCAUAAACAGGAAACACUAUCCUCCUUAUAUAAAGUAAAUAUUAAAUGCGUAUACAAGAAACUCUUAAAAUGAAAAUAUCAGAAUGGAGCGACACACUGUGCUACAUCUUUAUUUUACUGCAGUUUAAUCUUUUAUUAGUUCCUACUCAGUUUAAAAAGUGAAUUCUGAGUUUGUCUACCAACUAAUAACUUGUCAUUGCAGUAAAAAGUGGUAAUAUUUCUAUUUUUAUGUUCAUCACCAUGACAUCUGCACACUGUCUAUAAACAAACAUUAAGCAGAGCUUCAUUAGUGACACUAACCUCUGUCUCUGUUUGUGUGUGUUAUUGUGUGUGUUGUCAGGCACUGCGCUCUGACCCGUGGUGACCUCUGAGGUUCCUG